GAGAAUGCCGGUGUGAGUAGCGAAAGACGGGUGAGAAUCCCGUCCACCGAUUGACUAAGGUUUCCAGAGGAAGGCUCGUCCGCUCUGGGUUAGUCGGGUCCUAAGCUGAGGCCGACAGGCGUAGGCGAUGGAUAACAGGUUGAUAUUCCUGUACCACCUAUAAUCGUUUUAAUCGAUGGGGGGACGCAGUAGGAUAGGCGAAGCGUGCGAUUGGAUUGCACGUCUAAGCAGUAAGGCUGAGUAUUAGGCAAAUCCGGUACUCGUUAAGGCUGAGCUGUGAUGGGGAGAAGACAUUGUGUCUUCGAGUCGUUGAUUUCACACUGCCGAGAAAAGCCUCUAGAUAGAAAAUAGGUGCCCGUACCGCAAACCGACACAGGUAGUCAAGAUGAGAAUUCUAAGGUGAGCGAGCGAACUCUCGUUAAGGAACUCGGCAAAAUGACCCCGUAACUUCGGGAGAAGGGGUGCUCUUUAGGGUUAACGCCCAGAAGAGCCGCAGUGAAUAGGCCCAAGCGACUGUUUAUCAAAAACACAGGUCUCUGCUAAACCGUAAGGUGAUGUAUAGGGGCUGACGCCUGCCCGGUGCUGGAAGGUUAAGAGGAGUGGUUAGCUUCUGCGAAGCUACGAAUCGAAGCCCCAGUAAACGGCGGCCGUAACUAUAACGGUCCUAAGGUAGCGAAAUUCCUUGUCGGGUAAGUUCCGACCCGCACGAAAGGCGUAACGAUUUGGGCACUGUCUCAACGAGAGACUCGGUGAAAUCAUAGUACCUGUGAAGAUGCAGGUUACCCGCGACAGGACGGAAAGACCCCGUGGAGCUUUACUGUAGCCUGAUAUUGAAAUUCGGCACAGCUUGUACAGGAUAGGUAGGAGCCUUUGAAACGUGAGCGCUAGCUUACGUGGAGGCGCUGGUGGGAUACUACCCUAGCUGUGUUGGCUUUCUAACCCGCACCACUUAUCGUGGUGGGAGACAGUGUCAGGCGGGCAGUUUGACUGGGGCGGUCGCCUCCUAAAAGGUAACGGAGGCGCUCAAAGGUUCCCUCAGAAUGGUUGGAAAUCAUUCAUAGAGUGUAAAGGCAUAAGGGAGCUUGACUGCGAGACCUACAAGUCGAGCAGGGUCGAAAGACGGACUUAGUGAUCCGGUGGUUCCGCAUGGAAGGGCCAUCGCUCAACGGAUAAAAGCUACCCCGGGGAUAACAGGCUUAUCUCCCCCAAGAGUUCACAUCGACGGGGAGGUUUGGCACCUCGAUGUCGGCUCAUCGCAUCCUGGGGCUGUAGUCGGUCCCAAGGGUUGGGCUGUUCGCCCAUUAAAGCGGUACGCGAGCUGGGUUCAGAACGUCGUGAGACAGUUCGGUCCCUAUCCGUCGUGGGCGUAGGAAAUUUGAGAGGAGCUGUCCUUAGUACGAGAGGACC
rnacentral:rRNA from 1 species